UGGGGAAUAUUGCACAAUGGGCGCAAGCCUGAUGCAGCCAUGCCGCGUGUGUGAAGAAGGCCUUCGGGUUGUAAAGCACUUUCAGCGAGGAGGAAGGGUAGUGUGUUAAUAGCACAUUGCAUUGACGUUACUCGCAGAAGAAGCACCGGCUAACUCCGUGCCAGCAGCCGCGGUAAUACGGAGGGUGCAAGCGUUAAUCGGAAUUACUGGGCGUAAAGCGCACGCAGGCGGUUUGUUAAGUCAGAUGUGAAAUCCCCGCGCUUAACGUGGGAACUGCAUUUGAAACUGGCAAGCUAGAGUCUUGUAGAGGGGGGUAGAAUUCCAGGUGUAGCGGUGAAAUGCGUAGAGAUCUGGAGGAAUAC
rnacentral:rRNA from 1 species